rnacentral:lncRNA from 10 species
GGGGAUUACAAUUCAGUAUGAGAUUUGCGCAGGGACAAAUAUCCAAACUAUUUCAACUCCUUUGGGCCUGCUUACGAAUGAAAACCAUUUCUGAAGUCAGCCUGAUAACUGCUGUUGCUGUAACCUUGGGAUGACCUCUAAGCCCCCUGCCUGUGUCCAUUGAAACAAUGGCUAGCAUUGAAACACACUCUGAAUGGGCAACUCGGCUGGGUCAGUUCUUCACAGGGGCUUGGCCCAGUGUCUGGCAGACAGGAGGCACUCAAUAAAUAGCAGUUGUUUUUAUUUUAUAAAUGAGACACCUGAGGCUCAGAGGGUCAGGUAACUGACCUCAAGUUACCCAUCAGUGAGUGGCAAAACUGGGAAAAACCCCAGCUCAGCUUGAUCUGGAAACCUUGGCCUCAUUUCACCCGGCACAGUGCCUCUGCAGAGACAGAGGGCUCCUUUGUGGAGCCCUCGAGUGCUAGACGGACCCACAAAAUUACUCAUCAGCUGCAGGUCCUCUCCCUCCCUUGUCCCCACACCACCUCCCAGGUCCUCUCCCUCUCUAGAAGAAAUGGUCCAAGUUACAAGGCAGACACUACUGAAGCUCCAGAGAAGUCUCAGUAGCUUCUAGUUUCUGGCAUUUUGGUCACUGGCAUUUGGCAAAAUGGCCCUUGAUUUAACCAUAAAAGAGGAAUUUGCUGAUACUCAACCAGUCCGCCCCGACUAGUUGUGGACGAUGUCUGCCAGCUGCCUACAGAAUCCACCCUUUUCCUUUGGAAUUCCCUCCUUCUCCUGACGCUGACAAUACCCUUGCCCUUCAGAGGACCUGCCUUCCCACUCUCCAUUGGACACUGUGGAACUUCUUGGCGUCCAGUCCCAAGGGCACAGCCACCGCAGGACUUCACGUCUGCCUGCCUGAGCAGGGCUGGUGUCUUAUGAAUGGCAGCUGAGACCCAGUUCAGGCUCACGACCUCAUAUCACAGAAAUGAACUCAAAGGAAAAUGACUAAUCACCGACCUACUCAGAAUCAUUGGUCCCCGGCAAGCAAGGGUGAUCCUGCAUCAAUCUAUUAAUUUUCAUUUCCAGGGUUCUCAGAUGUAAAACAAAUGUUUGAUGUAAUCCGCAACACUGCUCUGUUAUAAUUAAACAACCUCCUACUGCCUAAAUUGGCAAAGCACUCCAUCGAUCAGUGAUAAAUGUGGUCCUUGGGAGACUGCUUUUAUGUUUGUUUCACUCAUGGGAAAAUGGCCACAACCCUUUUGUAAGAUUCCUCGGCUGCUGCUCUCCCCAGGUUACAAUCAUAGUAACUGCUGCUUCUGGGAUGCCUCGCUGUAAUCCUCAUGUUCAAUGAUGGCUCAAUGGAUAUGUGCUUGAAGGAGAGUGAGUGAUGGGGAGUCUACAGUUAUGAAUAAAAUAUAUUCAAGUCAAUAAACCCUUCCUGGGUUCCUUUGCCUCACCAUUUUAUGCACAAUUUAUGAAGCACCCUACACAUACCAGGAGCUAUUUGCAAUGUUUAAGAUGUGGGAGCCCCCAUAAUUCUAAAU